rnacentral:rRNA from 1 species
CACCGCCCGUCACACCGUCGGGAGUUGAUUGCACCAGAAGCAGGUAGCCUGACCGCCAAGGGAGGGCGCCUACCACGGUGUGGUCAAUGACUGGGGUG